rnacentral:rRNA from 1 species
UACGUAGGGUGCAAGCGUUGUCCGGAAUUAUUGGGCGUAAAGAGCUCGUAGGCGGUCUGUCGCGUCGGCUGUGAAAUCCCGAGGCUCAACCUCGGGUCUGCAGUCGAUACGGGCAAACUAGAGUACUGCAGGGGAGACUGGAAUUCCUGGUGUAGCGGUGAAAUGCGCAGAUAUCAGGAGGAACACCGGUGGCGAAGGCGGGUCUCUGGGCAGUAACUGACGCUGAGGAGCGAAAGCGUGGGGAGCGAACAGG